AUUGAACGCUGGCGGCAGGCCUAACACAUGCAAGUCGAACGCGUGGCGGACGGGUGAGUAAUGUCUGGGACACUGCCCGAUGGAGGGGGAUAACUACUGGAAACGGUAGCUAAUACCGCAUACCAUCGGAUGUGCCCAGAUGGGAUGAGCUAGUAGGGGGGGUAACGGCUCACCUAGGCGACGCUCCCUAGCUGGUCUGAGCGGAUGGCCAGCCACACUGGAACUGAGGCACGGUCCAGACUCCUACGGGGGGCAGCAGUGGGGAAUAUUGCCCAAUGGGGGAAACCCUGAUGCAGCAACGCCGGGGGCGGAAUGACGGCCUUCGGGUUGUGAACCGCUUUCAGCCAUGACGCGGUAGUGGCAGAAGAAGCACCGGCUAACUACGUGCCAGCAGCCGCGGUAAUUC
rnacentral:rRNA from 1 species